rnacentral:rRNA from 1 species
UACGUAGGCGGAAAAUUAAGUCAGUAGUGAAAUCCUGCAGCUUAACUGUAGAACUGUUAUUGAUACUGGUUUUCUUGAAUAUAGUUGAGGUAGGCGGAAUGUGUAAUGUAGCGGUGAAAUGCUUAGAUAUUACACAGAACACCGAUUGCGAAGGCAGCUUACUAAGCUAUGAUUGACGCUGAGGUACGAAAGCGUGGGGAGCUAACAGGAUUAGAUACCCUGGUAGUCC